rnacentral:rRNA from 1 species
CUACGGGCGGCAGCAGUGGGGAAUAUUGGGCAAUGGGCGCAAGCCUGACCCAGCAACGCCGCGUGAGGGAAGAAGGUUUUCGGAUUGUAAACCUCUGUCCUUGGGGACGAAGAAGUGACGGUACCCAAGGAGGAAGCCCCGGCUAACUACGUGCCAGCAGCCGCGGUAAUACGUAGGGAGCAAGCGUUGUCCGGAAUUACUGGGCGUAAAGGGUGCGUAGGCGGCAUAUUAAGUCAGGUGUGAAAUACUCGGGCUCAACCCGGGGGGUGCAUUUGAAACUGAUAAGCUUGAGUGUGAGAGAGGAAAGUGGAAUUCCUAGUGUAGCGGUGGAAUGCGUAGAUAUUAGGAGGAACACCAGUGGCGAAGGCGACUUUCUGGCUCAUAACUGACGCUGAGGCACGAAAGCGUGGGGAGCAAACAGGAUUAGAUACCCCAGUAGUC